rnacentral:tRNA from 1 species
AAGGAUUUAAGUUAAAAAAACUAGUAGCCUUCAAAUCUACCAAUAAAUUUUAUUUAAGCCUUA